AAUUAAUGAUCUUGAAUAAGUCUAGUUUUGAAAA
rnacentral:tRNA from 1 species